CCCGCUGAACUUAAGCAUAUCAAUAAGCGGAGGAAAAGAAACUAACAAGGAUUCCCCUAGUAACUGCGAGUGAAGCGGGAAAAGCUCAAAUUUAAAAUCUGGUGGUCUUUGGCCAUCCGAGUUGUAAUUUAGAGAAGCGUCUUCCGCGCUGGACCGUGCACAAGUCUCCUGGAACGGAGCGUCGUAGAGGGUGAGAAUCCCGUCUUUGGCAUGGACACACCAGGGCUUUUGCGAUGCGCUCUCGAAGAGUCGAGUUGUUUGGGAAUGCAGCUCAAAAUGGGUGGUGAACUCCAUCUAAAGCUAAAUAUUGGCGAGAGACCGAUAGCGAACAAGUACCGUGAGGGAAAGAUGAAAAGCACUUUGGAAAGAGAGUGAAACAGUACGUGAAAUUGUUGAAAGGGAAACGCUUGAAGUCAGUCGCGUCGUCCGAGACUCAGCCUCGCCUCGGCUUGGUGUACUUCUCGGCCCGACGGGUCAGCAUCAAUUUCGCCUCUCGGAUAAAGGUCGGGGGAAUGUGGCAUCCUUCGGGAUGUGUUAUAGACCUCGAUUCGGAUACGGCGAUUGGGAUUGAGGAACUCGGCGCUCUGCGUCCAGGAUGCUGGCAUAAUGGCUUUAAGCGACCCGUCUUGAAACACGG
rnacentral:rRNA from 1 species